GGAGGGGUGGCAGAGUGGUUGAAUGCGGCGGUCUCGAAAACCGUUAUGGGCGUGAUUCGUCCAUCGAGGGUUCGAAUCCCUCCCCCUCCG
rnacentral:tRNA from 1 species